GCACUGCCGAGGAGUCCCAAGAUAGGACGAAACGGCCGUCCAGUGC
rnacentral:hammerhead_ribozyme from 1 species